AGUGAACGCUGGCGGUAGGCCUAACACAUGCAAGUCGAACGGCAGCACAGUAAGAGCUUGCUCUUACGGGUGGCGAGUGGCGGACGGGUGAGGAAUACAUCGGAAUCUACUUUUUCGUGGGGGAUAACGUAGGGAAACUUACGCUAAUACCGCAUACGACCUACGGGUGAAAGCAGGGGAUCUUCGGACCUUGCGCGAUUGAAUGAGCCGAUGUCGGAUUAGCUAGUUGGCGGGGUAAAGGCCCACCAAGGCGACGAUCCGUAGCUGGUCUGAGAGGAUGAUCAGCCACACUGGAACUUAGACACGGUCCAGACUCCUACGGGAGGCAGCAGUGGGGAAUAUUGGACAAUGGGCGCAAGCCUUAUCCAGCCAUACCGCGUGGGUGAAGAAGGCCUUCGGGUUGUAAAGCCCUUUUGUUGGGAAAGAAAAGCAGCAGGUUAAUACCCCGCUGUUCUGACGGUACCCAAAGAAUAAGCACCGGCUAACUUCGUG
rnacentral:rRNA from 1 species